rnacentral:rRNA from 1 species
GAUGAACGCUGGCGGCGUGCCUAAUACAUGCAAGUCGAGCGAACGGACGAGAAGCUUGCUUCUCUGAUGUUAGCGACGGACGGGUGAGUAACACGUGGAUAACCUACCUAUAAGACUGGGAUAACUUCGGGAAACCGGAGCUAAUACCGGAUGAUAUUUUGAACCGCAUGGUUCAAAAGUGAAAGACGGUCUUGCUGUCACUUAUAGAUGGAUCCGCGCUGCAUUAGCUAGUUGGUAAGGUAACGGCUUACCAAGGCAACGAUGCAUAGCCGACCUGAGAGGGUGAUCGGCCACACUGGAACUGAGACACGGUCCAGACUCCUACGGGAGGCAGCAGUAGGGAAUCUUCCGCAAUGGGCGAAAGCCUGACGGAGCAACGCCGCGUGAGUGAUGAAGGUCUUCGGAUCGUAAAACUCUGUUAUUAGGGAAGAACAUAUGUGUAAGUAACUGUGCACAUCUUGACUGUACCUAAUCAGAAAGCCACGGCUAACUACGUG